rnacentral:tRNA from 1 species
AUUUUAUUAAUAGUUUUAUUAAAAAUAACCAAUGUUAACUCGUUAUUUACAUAGAAUU